rnacentral:rRNA from 1 species
AUACCGAUGGCGAAGGCAGCCUCCUGGGAUAACACUGACGUUCAUGCUCGAAAGCGUGGGUAGCAAACAGGAUUAGAUACCCUGGUAGUCCACGCCCUAAACGAUGUCAAUUAGCUGUUGGGCAACUUGAUUGUUCAGUAGCGUAGCUAACGCGUGAAAUUGACCGCCUGGGGAGUACGGUCGCAAGAUUAAAACUCAAAGGAAUUGACGGGGACCCGCACAAGCGGUGGAUGAUGUGGAUUAAUUCGAUGCAACGCGAAGAACCUUACCUGGUCUUGACAUGUACGGAAUCCUCCAGAGACGGAGGAGUGCCUUCGGGAGCCGUAACACAGGUGCUGCAUGGCUGUCGUCAGCUCGUGUCGUGAGAUGUUGGGUUAAGUCCCGCAACGAGCGCAACCCUUGUCAUUAGUUGCCAUCAUUCAGUUGGGCACUCUAAUGAGACUGCCGGUGACAAGCCGGAGGAAGGUGGGGAUGACGUCAAGUCCUCAUGGCCCUUAUGACCAGGGCUUCACACGUCAUACAAUGGUCGGUACAGAGGGUAGCCAAGCCGCGAGGUGGAGCCAAUCUCACAAAACCGAUCGUAGUCCGGAUUGCACUCUGCAACUCGAGUGCAUGAAGUCGGAAUCGCUAGUAAUCGCAGGUCAGCAUACUGCGGUGAAUACGUUCCCGGGUCUUGUACACACCGCCCGUCACACCAUGGGAGUGGGGGAUACCAGAAGUAGGUAGGAUAACCGCAAGGGGUCCGCUUACCACGGUAUGCUUCAUGACUGGGGUGAAGUCGUAACAAGGUAGCCGUAGGGGAACC